UGGACUCCAUAACAAGAGGCCUGCGUAUGCUUCAUAAUUUAAACAUCUAAGAUCAGGAUAAUUGUAGCGAUGAGGCUGUUUCCUUCAUGAUACCACCAGGUCAUGGAGUGUCAACUUGAGACUUCUAAUUGAAGAAUGAAAUGCAGCUGAACUCCACACCUGAUCAGGAAUAUCACCGUGUUCAGCUCUCUCAUUUAAAUGUGUGUUUGAUCAUCUCUGAUUCAUUUGACAUGAAUCCUCAGAGAAUGUGAAGAAAAGAAGUAAUUACAUGCAAGUCCUCAUGUCAAUGAUCCAAACCUUUUGCAUAUCAGCAUGAGAACAGUUGACUUGUAUCCCAAACUAAGUUAGGAGUCUGCAUCUUUACUUCUUUUUCUUUUUACUGUGUUGUAAAAUUUGCUUUCAGAGCAAUUAGUUGCACCUGCUUUUAACUAAUGACCUGCAGCCACUCGACAACAGUAGAAAAGGAUAAAUGGUUUCAGUCCCCUCAGUUCUUCACUGUUUUUGAACUAUUAAGGUGACAGCAAGGUUCAUAGAGGUGGCAUGGGACUGCUCUUUGGAUGGUUGCUGUUGUCUCUGUUAGGCGUUGGAGGACCUCACGUAAAUGCAUACUAUACUGGAGCUGAAAAGUAUAGAGGGGAAGACGUGCAGCUGACUCCCUAUGACCCAGAGGAAUAUGGAUAUCCUGUUGAACAAACCUUCCCAAGAGGGGGUCCAACUGGUCCCAAGAAACCAAUUCCAUCGCCAGUGAAGCGUGACUAUGCUUCAGGAGGAGCAACGGGUCCUCUUAAACCAACGCUAGUAGAAACUAGUUACCCAAUGAGGGAGCCUCUGGGUUCCACAAAACCAGUCUCUUGGCCUGUGGAGCCCAGUUACCCACAGUGGGAACCAAUGGAUCAAAUGAAGCCAUCUCCUUUACCUGUGAAGCUUAAAUAUCCAACUCUAGAGUCAGUGGGUCUAUCAAAUCCACAGACUGAACAUGCAGGACCCAGAUAUCCACUUCCUGGUUAUGUUGACUCUCACAGGGGGCCAAAAAUGACCCCAGACCGCUUUUUCACAUCAGUGGCUCCAAGAAAGCCGGUUUACAAAGCCAAGCGACCAAGUGACUUACUGAAAUAUCCUCGCAAACCACAUUACCUCACAAUCCGGACGAGAUAUGUACCCAAGCGCCCAGCAUGGAGAAGGAAGUCUAGAUGGGUCAGUUAACAUCCGCUGUUGAUCUUCUGAGGUGCAAUUUAUGUACAAUUACUGCACUUUCUGUAUUUUUACUUUCAGGCACAUUAAAGACUUUGGGAUAAUCUAAGUCACAUAAGUUUGAGGUGCCUUUUGUUUGACAAGCAGUACCCAUCUGUGUGUGCCAGUGUUUAUUUAUUUGAGCUGCUCUGGUUAAACCGACUGACGUUUACAAGUUCCUUCUGAUUCCACAAAUAUCUAUAAAAUAUCUGGAUUUUUGUCACCUACUGUUGAAGCAUCUCUUUGAAGAUUAGGUGGCGUCUUUUUCAUCUUGCAAAAGCUGCCUUUUAUUUUUUUUGGCACCUCCCUUAAGGACAGAAGUGCCAUCACUAAUUUGUGGAUGAAGGACUUUGAUGCCCUUGUGAUUUUUGUUAAGGUUUUCAGGCAGUAUCUGUCACACAUUUUGAUGUACUAUCAGAGUGUAAAAGUAGUUUUAUGGGAGUUUUUAGCCUCCGGAACAGUUUUAGUUAAUUUGCUUCAGUUUAAAAUGUCUACUUCUUUUUCUAAGACUUUGUUUUACUGACUAAUCUUCUGUGGUGGUCUAUCUUGCUUGAUGGGCCAUGUCACAGCAAAAACCAACAUGAUUAAUGAGACAAGUGCAAAAAGAAGUACUGUGAGUGCAUGAUAAUGGCUCUAAAUGAUGUCCCAAAUGCAGAGUCUCAGAGAAACAUUGACCUAUUUUAGCAAAUCUAAGCCCCCAUUUACUACAGAAAUAACCACUGCUCCAAAAGCAGAUUGUUUGGAUGUAAAAAAGCUGCAUCCCUGCAUUUUGUAGAUGUUGCAA
rnacentral:lncRNA from 1 species